rfam:Acidobacteria bacterium 13_1_40CM_56_16 13_1_40cm_scaffold_4644, whole genome shotgun sequence.
AGAGUCCCUGCGGAGUAAGGACUAACCAUCCACUCCUACCGAGUGUUGCAACUGCGACUGAGGAGGUGGAAACAGCGAACGAGUCAGUUGAAGCGUACACAGGGAAGCAUGCAGACCGCAGGAGAGACCGCGAUCUCCAAAGCUUGAUACAGCCCCGUCAUGGCGUUUAAUGCGGAUGGCGACGGUGUUAACGGUAUCGGAAGCCAACACAGACGAACCGCAACGGUGAGGUUCGCGAGGGUCCGCCGGGGUCCACCUUAGAGCG